AGAGCGAACGCUGGCGGCAGGCUUAACACAUGCAAGUCGAGCGGGCGUAGCAAUACGUCAGCGGCAGACGGGUGAGUAACGCGUGGGAACGUACCUUUUGGUUCGGAACAACCCAGGGAAACUUGGGCUAAUACCGGAUAAGCCCUUACGGGGAAAGAUUUAUCGCCGAAAGAUCGGCCCGCGUCUGAUUAGCUAGUUGGUGAGGUAAUGGCUCACCAAGGCGACGAUCAGUAGCUGGUCUGAGAGGAUGAUCAGCCACAUUGGGACUGAGACACGGCCCAAACUCCUACGGGAGGCAGCAGUGGGGAAUAUUGGACAAUGGGCGCAAGCCUGAUCCAGCCAUGCCGCGUGAGUGAUGAAGGCCCUAGGGUUGUAAAGCUCUUUUGUGCGGGAAGAUAAGUGGCGGUACCGCAAGAAUAAGCCCCGGCUAACUUCGCGCCAGCAGCCGC
rnacentral:rRNA from 1 species